rnacentral:rRNA from 1 species
UGCAAGUCGAACGAGAGAUGAGGAGCUUGCUCUUCAAAUCGAGUGGCGAACGGGUGAGUAACGCGUGAGGAACCUGCCUCAAAGAGGGGGACAACAGUUGGAAACGACUGCUAAUACCGCAUAAGCCCACGGCUCGGCAUCGAGCAGAGGGAAAAGGAGUGAUCCGCUUUGAGAUGGCCUCGCGUCCGAUUAGCUAGUUGGUGAGGUAAUGGCCCACCAAGGCGACGAUCGGUAGCCGGACUGAGAGGUUGAACGGCCACAUUGGGACUGAGACACGGCCCAGACUCCUACGGGAGGCAGCAGUGGGGAAUAUUGCACAAUGGGGGAAACCCUGAUGCAGCGACGCCGCGUGGAGGAAGAAGGUCUUCGGAUUGUAAACUCCUGUUGUUGAGGAAGAUAAUGACGGUACUCAACAAGGAAGUGACGGCUAACUACGUGCCAGCAGCCGCGGUAAAACGUAGGUCACAAGCGUUGUCCGGAAUUACUGGGUGUAAAGGGAGCGCAGGCGGGAGAACAAGUUGGAAGUGAAAUCCAUGGGCUCAACCCAUGAACUGCUUUCAAAACUGUUUUUCUUGAGUAGUGCAGAGGUAGGCGGAAUUCCCGGUGUAGCGGUGGAAUGCGUAGAUAUCGGGAGGAACACCAGUGGCGAAGGCGGCCUACUGGGCACCAACUGACGCUGAGGCUCGAAAGUGUGGGUAGCAAACAGGAUUAGAUACCCUGGUAGUCCACACCGUAAACGAUGAUUACUAGGUGUUGGAGGAUUGACCCCUUCAGUGCCGCAGUUAACACAAUAAGUAAUCCACC